rnacentral:lncRNA from 1 species
UGGUUCAAAACUUCAAGUAGUACUGGUCUUGAAGUUGUGUCAGCCAGUGUAAUAUUGAGCAAAGUUUGGUAUUUUGCCAUAUAGAACCAUGCUGGCAUCCUGUUGGACUGGUUCGUAGCACAUGCUAGGCCAUGUCGACACCCCGUAUGGUUGGGUUUCCUGCUAACAUCAUUGGUACAAUGAGUACAACUGCAUUCUUAAUUGUAUUAAACUUUUCUCUUUUGUGAUGAACAUGAUGAGAAGAGGGUUUAGUUGCAGUUGAUGACAAAAUCAACAAGUUUUCAUGAAGAAAAACAAGAUCACCAUAGCUUAGCUUGGUUUUUAUCUACUGGUGCUAGUCAAGAAGUGAUUGGAAAGUGCUACUGGAGAUCAGGGCUUUAUUGCACUGGUUGGUAAGCCUUGACUUAUGAUUUUAAAUGACAAAGAGGAAAGGGAACCUGUCGAUGUCUAGUGUCCUUAUUGACCUGCAGUUUUAGGGAACUGGUCACAAGAGGCAAUUGGAUCUUUGCCAAGUGUGAUCUUUUCUUUGAGCAUCGGUGAGUUGUGGUCGCAUUCACAGGUUUGUUAGAGGAAGUACUAUGUUAUACCAAAUAAAAAACUACAAGUUUUGGUCUAUAUGCUGCUGAAACCAUAAAAUUUUGACCAAAGCUCAGUGAAGCAGCUUCAAACUUGGGCCAGAUUGACCUGCUAGGUGUCUAUUUGUUGGAUUUACCAGGCAAUAUGCCUAUGGACUGAAACGACCAUCCUCGAGUCUAUAACAUGUGUUUUUACUUAAGCAGGCAAUAUCGCUGCUGAAAUGUGGUUUUUAUUGUAUCCUUAAGGAAUGUGGAUAUGCUGUAUGUUUCUUCUUAGAUUUUGGAGUUUCUCAUCUUCAUUUAUGUUUUUGGUGUGCUACUGUUAGUUAUUAUUUAAAAUUUUAAAUAGAUAAAUAAAUAUAUUGAAACAACUUUUUUACUAUGUGGAUAAUUGCCAUGCCAUACUAGAAGUCUAGAAGGCAACAAAGGUAGCUUCAUGACUUUGCCAAUAAUUUCUGUGCCCAUUCGAGUCAGUUGCUAGCAUGUUACAUGUUCCCACCUGCUGUGCUAAUUGAACCCACAGUGUCAUGCAUUUGAGAGUCUGAGACUAAACUAGAAUUUGUAUAAAGCAUGUUUAAACAUGUUAUGCCUAUAAAAUUUGGUAAUAGCAAGGUUUAAAAUUCUGGUUGGUGCCAAUAUGGUCAGUGUUUGGACCAGUAGGGUUCCAGUAUGGACCGAUGCAUCAACACUUGGAGUUCAGUACUGUCUGAACCAAAAGAAAGGGGCAGAGACGACGGAAGGUGGAAGAACAUGAUUGGUGACAGGAGGUGGGAAAGGAGACAGAAAGAGGAGGUGAAGAAGAAGCAAUAACCUAAUGAUGCAGCAGGGUGACAAUGAGGCGGUGGGAAGGAGGAAGAGGCAGAGGGGGUUGAGAGAAAGAAGAGCAUGCGAUGAAAGUUAAAAAAAAAAAAAAACAACUGCCAAAAGCUACAAAAGAAAAUGAUAGGGGUACCGGGUAAUGAUAGGCUAACUGCUUGGUCUCAGUUUUAACCAUGCCCAGUUCUGUGUAGUACCAGUAAAAGUAUGGAUUGGUCUAGGUUUUCUAAUCUUUGGCUGAGGUUUGUAUUAUGUUUCAUAGACCUAUUUAAACAUGAAAGGAUAUUAGUCUCUUGUACUAUAUGUUAUCCCAAGAGGUGUUUUGUAAACAUUCCAUGUAGUGUAACCUACUAAAUGAUAUAAGCUGUACAAUCUGGCUGUCACUUUUGUCCAUGUAAUCAAAUCCCUCAUUUAGGUAUAAUUUUUUAUUUCCUUUUUCGCUAAUGAGAUUUAGGACAUAAUUAUCCAACAUACCAAAUAGGAUGAUGUUAUUUUUGUCAGAAAAUUAAACGAAAAUAAAUACAAAAGUAAAAAAAACCUAAUGUGGAGGGCUCACCUUCUCCUAUUUAAGGGGAGGGAUUCAUCUUCUUCAUUUCUCACCAAGCCAAGACAAGCCUAAUAGUGGGAGGAAUGAGGUGUUGCAUCCUACUAAGUAUAGGUAGGUUCUCUUCCUUGAAAAAUAAAAAAAUUCUUUAAUUCCUUUAAAUAUUUAAAAUAUUCUUUUAGAUUAAAACAUGUUAUGAUUUUUCAUGUUAUAUAUAGUUUUAAAAUAUUCUUUUAUUCUUUUAAUUGUUUAAAAUUUUAUUAUCGGAUUAAAACAUGUUAUAAUUAUUCAUGUUAUAUAAAGUUUCUAAAAUUUUCUAUUAUCCCUUUAAAGAUUUAGAAAUUUAUUUUAGGUUAAAACAUAUUGCGAUUAUUCAUGCUAUAUGUGGUUUUUAAAAUUUUUAUCUUGGAUGCAUGAUAUUUGAUUUCUUUUGGAUUUAUACAAUACUUGAUUAAAAAUAUUGUUUUAUCCUUUAUGCAAUUAUAUAUUUUUAAUCUACUACUAUUAUUAUAUUUAAUGAUUCAAUACUAAUGAAUAAAUAUUUUGAUUAUAAUUUCACGUUGUCAUAAUUUGAAAAUAAGGAAAUUGUUUAGAAUUUGGGUUGAGAUCAACCAUCAGGCUAGGCCCAGCCUGUAGGAUAGGUCGUAGCCCGUAAACUAGGCCCAGCCAACAGGCCAUGCCUAGCUAGCAGGUGAGACCCAACUCAUAGGUCUAGCCUUAGCCCGUAGGCUAGCUUGGUCCAACCCAACAUGGGUAGUCAUAUGCACUACACAAGACUAGUCCAUGGGCUAUGGGUCGGCCCAACCUAGUGUGGUGCAUGCACAGCCAUGUGCAGUGCACAUAACCAAUACAUGGGCUGGCCUAAUCUUGCCCAGUGUUAUGCAAUCUAGCCUAUUGCCCUUAUUUUGUUUGAUUUGGGCAUAAACAUUGUUUGAACUAAAUCAAAUAUGAUCAGUUUAGAUCGAUUCAAGGUGAUUUCGAAUCGGUUUAACUUAGUCAAUUUGUUUAACCUAAAUUGAACCCAAUCUAGUCUAAAUUAUACUAGUCUAGGGUAGUUCCAAACCGGUUAAAUGAGGAUUAGAGAUCGAUUCAGUUAGAUUCUAGCGAAAUCGAGUUUAAUUAGAUCGAUUGAACUAUGGUUCAAGUUGAUAUUAUUUGAGUUUAGUUGAGGGCUAAUUGAUAUUAUUUGACAUUAAUGAUGUUUGAAAGAGACAUUUCAAUGUAUUAUUCUAUCUUGAUAUAUACAUGACUAGUAUGAGAUGAUAUUGUUUCCUUGUCGAGGGUAGGUAGGGUGAUUCCCUUCGAGGAUUAACGGGCUAUCAGAUGUGGCGGUUGGAUGAUUCCUCUAAUUGUUGUUGGGAGAAAUAUGGUCCCAUUUUGGACGAUGAGGGAUACCACUCCAUCCGUUGUUAGGAGUGUGAUAUGAGUUUGUCUCCAUUCAUUGAUAGGAGAAUACAAACUCAUCUCGUAAGGUAAAACCUCUCCAUCUGUUGUUGGGGGAGUGCUCUUUGGGGUAUUUGAUAUAUGCCAAAGGGAUGAUUAACCUUUGGUAAUGUAUUUAUUCUACAGUUGACUUGUAAGGGAUCCUACUCACCAUUACUAAAAUAUCUUUGUUUUAUUUUUACUUUUAGAGCAACCUCCCAGUAGUAUCAGAUCGGAUUUCAAUAGAGAACAAACCUUUCUCUAUCACUAGGUAGAGCUAGUUGGAUUUAUUUUUGAGUUGAUAUCAUUAUGUUUCUCAACAAUCAACACUUGCAUGAUACUUUGAAAGCCAAUCUAUACCCAAAAUAGCAUCAAAGUCUCGAAACUCUAGUAGAAUAAGGUGUACUAGCAAAUCAUGAGUUUCAAUCAAGGUAUGCAAUACCAGGUGGUACGUAUCGGUCCGUCAACUGAUCGGUACACGGAUCGCCCGUUACCGGACAAAACGAAAAAAAAAAAAAAAAAAAAAUAUAUAUAUAUAUAUAUAUAUAUAUAUAUAUAUAUAUAUUUUAAUAAAAGGCGACGUCACCUUAUAUAUAUAUAUAUAUAUAUAUAAACGAGGCGAUGUCGUCGAGGCGAUGCGACGUCGCCUUUUAUAAAAACAAUAUAUAAAUAUAUAUAAUCUUUUAUAUAUAUAUAUAUAUAUAUAUAUAUAUAUAUAUAUAUAUAUAUAUAUAUAUAUAUAUAUAUAUAUAUAUAUAUAUAUAUAUAUAUAUAUAUAUAUAUAUAUAUAUAUAUCUCUCGCAGAGAAAAAGAGAGACGCCCCCGCCCCCAUAUAUAUAUAUAUAUAUAUAUAUAUAUAUAUAUAUAUAUAUNNNNNNNNNNNNNNNNNNNNUAUAUAUAUAUAUAUAUAUAUAUAUAUAUAUAUAUAUAUAUAUAUAUAUAUAUAUAUAUAUAUAUAUAUAUAUAUAUAUAUAUAUAUAUAUAUAUAUAUAUAUAUAUAUAUAUAUAUAUAUAUAUAUAUAUAUAUAUAUAUAUAUAUAUAUAUAUAUAUAAACGAGGCGACAUCGCCCUUCCUGAGAGAAGAGAGAGGCAACAUCGCCGAAUUAUAUAUUUAUAUAUAUAUAUAUAUAUAUAUAUUUAUAUAAUUUACCGAGCGGUAUAUCAAAUGGUAUAUCGCUUGGUAUACAAUAUCGUACUGUACCGAGCGAACGUCGAAACUCCGGUACGGUACAAUAUUGCAUACCCUGCUUUCAAUAGUAACAAUGCAGUUUUUAAAUAUCUGAUCAGUUAUCAGAGAGUUUCCAAUUGAUGUUGUUUUCAUGGGCAAUCCUUUGAUAUGUGCUUCGGUUGUUGACAAAAGAAGCAUGCACAUUGUCCCACGGGGCAUGAGAUGGAAACAUGAUCAGUCUUCUCACAAAAAUAACAUCUUAUGACAACUUGAUUACUGGGAGCUCUUGCCUGCUGGUGUCUAGAUUGUCUACUCUUGCUUUUUUUUUUAGGGUCCAAAAUGUGAUCUCCUAAACGCAGAUGGUGCAACACUAAAAGGUCGCUUCGAUCCUUUACAUGUUGCAAUUCAUUAUCCAAUUUUUUUACCACCAAAGUUUGAUUGAGUACUUCAACAUGUGUUGAUAAAAUCAAUAUAGCAACAAACUUUCUAAUUGACGGACAAAGUCCCCUCUCAAAGUGAUGAGCUAUCUGAUGUUCAUUGACGGCAAUAUGUGGAGAGAACUGAGCCAGCUUAGUAAAAUAAUUAUCAUACUCUAUCACAGUACUUCCCUGAUGGAUGCUAAGAAACUCUUGUUGCUUCUCGAAGCAGACUGAAUCAGGGAAGAAUUGCUUAUAGUAUGCAUUUUUAAAUUGCUCCCAAGUCACCACAUUGCCUCUUGCCUCCAACAUCUUCCCUUUUGAGGUCUACCAAGUGUCUGCCUUCCCUUCCAAAAUGAAAGAAGCGAAAGGUACCUUUUGAUUUGCCCUACAUUCGAUAGCUUCAAAUGUUUUCUUCACUUGAAGGAUUCAACAUUCAGCAAAGAUUGGAUUUGGCUUGCCCUCGAAAAUAGGUGGUCUCAAUCUCUUAAAGUGAUCGAAAGUGUCAUUUCCACCCCGUAGAGCUUCAUCUCGCUCCUCCUAACACUUAAAGUAGCCUCUGAUAGUAUUGAGGACUUCGUGUACAUCAUCUAGAGCAUUGCCAGGUGCUGAAACACGAGGUGCAUUUUGUGGUGUUGGAGAAUUUGGCAUAUAAUCUGUCACGACUCGGGGCUAAUAAGCUAACUGGCCCAUUAACUUUGUUUGACCUAAACUAUUGGUCAAAAUGCUUAAGUUGAAGUGAUAGUAGCAUACUUAUCAGACCCUUAUAGGUCAAUCUUAAUUUUACUCACUUUCGAUGUGAGACUAAUCGGGGUGUUACAGUCAGUGAUUUAAAAAGCGCUAGGCGCCAAGGUCCAAAAACGCCCGAGGCGCUAAGCGCUCGCCCGAGCGAAGUGAGGCGCUAAAAUAUAAAAAUAGAUAAUAUAAUUAAUAAAUAUAAUUAUUUAAAUUUUUAAAUAAAAAUAUGUUAUUAAAUUAAUAUAAUAAAUACAAAUACUAUUACUAGCAUACAGUUAACAGUAUACUAUCGAAAAAGAAGAGUGUAAGGGAGGAGUCGAAAGAUCGAGGGUGUUGAUUGAGAAGAGAGGGAGCGGUAGCUGCGAGCGACGACAGCGGCAGCGAGCAGUAGCAGCGACAAGCGGCGAUAGUGGCACCGGUAGCAGCGGAAGCGGCGAGCGGAGACAGUGGCAACGGUAGCAGCGAGCAGCGGGAGCGGAGACAGUGGCAACAGUAGCAGCGGGAGUGGGAGCGGCGAGCGGCGACAGCAGCAGUGACGGUAGUAGCUUGAACGACGAGCAGGGUUAGGGUUGAGGAAGUCAUGCUGAUAUCAGUGCUUUAGUUGGUUCGACGGAGACCGAACCAGACCUCAAACGCUGGUUCGGUCGCCUGGUUUAACCUAGGCGCUCGCUCGAAGCGCCCGGCGCCUGGGCUCGGGCGAGCGCCCAGGCGGCGCCUCUUUGAAGCGCACGGCCUGGAAAUGAAGCGAGGUGCUCGGGCCUCGCCUCACCUCGCCCGAGCGCCUAGGCGAGUGCCCGAGCACCUUUUUAAAUCACUGGUUACAGUCCAUGCCCAACAAAUACUACACAUUUUUUAGUUUCAAGAUUCUAAGUCUUUACUUAUCCAGGUAAAGACUAAAAUUUAAUUUCCACCUUACACAACUAGUUGGAGGUGAGUAGCAGUUCGAGUUGGAUUACUUUCAUAUUGUAUAAACUACUAAUUAAAGAUAUUUGUGUGAUUAUUAUUAUUUGUCACUCGUAAGUAGAAGUCACUAAUGUACCAAAAUCAACCAUAAACUUCUGUUAUACCUUUAGAUGUUAAGCCAAUUUAAUUAUCCUAUCCUUGUUUGUAUAUCUAGUUUCAUACUUUCAUACAAGAAUAAAGACUUAAAAUCCUUUUUUGUAUCCCACAUGUGUUUUCCAAUUAUGUUGACCUUAAAAAUGACCAAGUUGAUUACAAGGUCGAAAGGACAGGGAUUGAUCUCGGGAUCAACAAUGGAAUUUUGGGGCCAGGAGAUAAUAUGGUCAGUUGGAGUUUAAAAAUAUUUUUAACAGAAAUAGUAAACAGAGAAAGUAAAAAAACUAGCAAACUCAUUUAACAAUAAGCUGAAGAGCAUUAUCGGGUCAAUCAAACUGGAUAUUUCCUUAAAUAGAAAAGAGGAUUAUAAGGUCAAUGAUAUAUGUGUGAUGCAAGCCGAAGUAAUUUUUAGAACAGAUUACAAAGAAGUCUCCAACAAAAUGCACAUAAUAACCCUCCUAAACUUAAAUGUAGGUGUUUAGGAUAUGUAAUUUACUCCAGAGGGUCUUGUCAUAAAACAAAAUACACUGAGAAAUUUGCAUGUUUGGAUGGGAUGGCAUGAUGAUGUGAUCAGUCUGAAUUGGUCACAACUUAUGAUUGGUCUGGCAGCGGCAGACUUAAUUGACCCCCAUCAUGAGAUCAGCAUACCUUAACUUUUCCACUGUUUUGUGUGUGGGUCCUGCUGAACCUGAUUAUUUGUUUUUUGAUCAUAGCUUACUUAGCUAAUGUAGC